rnacentral:rRNA from 1 species
UACGGAGGGUGCAAACGUUGCUCGGAAUUACUGGGCGUAAAGCGCGUGUAGGCUGCUUCGAAAGUCGGAUGUGAAAGCCCUGGGCUCAACCUAGGAAGUGCAUUCGAAACUUCGAAGCUGGAGUCCUGGAGAGGAAGGCGGAAUUCUCGGUGUAGAGGUGAAAUUCGUAGAUAUCGAGAGGAACACCGGUGGCGAAGGCGGCCUUCUGGACAGUGACUGACGCUGAGACGCGAAAGCGUGGGGAGCAAACAGG